rnacentral:rRNA from 1 species
GACGAACGCUGGCGGCGUGCUUAACACAUGCAAGUCGAACGGAAAGGCCCCUUUGGGGGUACUCGAGUGGCGAACGGGUGAGUAACACGUGAGUAACCUGCCCUUGACUUCGGGAUAACUUCAGGAAACUGGGGCUAAUACCGGAUAGGAAUCCUUGCUGCAUGGUGGGGGUUGGAAAGCUUCGGCGGUUUUGGAUGGACUCGCGGCUUCUCAGCUUGUUGGUGGGGUAGUGGCUUACUCAGGCUUUGUCGGGUAGCCGGCCUGAGAGGGCGACCGGCCACAAUGGGACUGAGAGACGGCCCAGACUCCGACGGGAGGCAACAGGGGGGAAGAUUGCACAAUGGGCGGAAGCCUGAUGCAGCAACGCCGCGGGCGGGAUGACGGCCUUCGGGUUGUAAACCGCUUUCAGCAGGGGCGAAGCUUGUGGUGACGGUACCUGCAGAAGAAGCACCGGCUAACUACGUG